CCAAGGAGUCUAACAUGUUCGCAAGUCAUUGGGUUGUAAAACCCAAAGGCAUAAUGAAAGUGAAGAUCAGUUCUGCUGGUCGAGGUGGGAUCUCUCUUCAAGGGAGCGCACCACCGUCCCAUCGCAUUUGCUCGUCAAAGCGGUGGAGAAAGAGCGUACAUGUUGGGACCCGAAAGAUGGUGAACUAUGCCUGAGCAGGAUGAAGCCAGAGGAAACUCUGGUGGAGGUCCGUAGCGGUUCUGACGUGCAAAUCGAUCGUCAGACUUGGGUAUAGGGGCGAAAGACUAAUCGAACCAUCUAGUAGCUGGUUCCCUCCGAAGUUUCCCUCAGGAUAGCUGGCACUUUUACGCAGUUUUACCCGGUAAAGCGAAUGAUUAGAGGCCUUGGGGACGAAACGACCUCAACCUAUUCUCAAACUUUAAAUGGGUAAGAACUCUCGCUUGCCUGACCGAAGCUCAGACAUUGAAUGCGAGUGCCAAGUGGGCCAUUUUU
rnacentral:rRNA from 1 species